rnacentral:sRNA from 1 species
GGAACUGUGAGGAGUGAGAAUUGCAAUCGAAAAGCCCUUGAAGUCGAAACACGGACAGACGCUCAGGGGCUUUUCAAUU